GACGUAGGGCGCGAGCGUUUGUCCGGAUUUAUUGGGCGUAAAGAGCUCGUAGGCGGCUUGUCGCGUCGACUGUGAAAUCCCGCGGCUCAACUGCGGGUCUGCAGUCGAUACGGGCAGGCUAGAGUUCGGUAGGGGAGACUGGAAUUCCUGGUGUAACGGUGAAAUGCGCAGAUAUCAAGAGGAACACCUGCGGCGAAGGCGGGUUGCUGGGCCGACACUGACGCUGGAGGCGCGAAAGCUAGGGGAGCGAACGGG
rnacentral:rRNA from 1 species